AGGCUUUGUAGUUGAAUAACAAUAGAAAGUUGCAGCCUUUCGGGUGAGGGGAAUUUCCUCCAGGGUCUU
rnacentral:tRNA from 1 species